GAGGACAUGGCGUAAUGGUAGCGCAUUGGAUUUCGGCUCCAAAGCUGCGGGUUCGAGUCCUGUCGUCCUCU
rnacentral:tRNA from 1 species